rnacentral:rRNA from 1 species
UACGAAGGUGGCAAGCGUUACUCGGAUUUACUGGGCGUAAAGGGCGGGUAGGUGGUUCGGUAAGUCUGUUGUGUAAGCUCCCGGCUUAACUGGGAGAGGGCAACAGAAACUGCCGGGCUUGAGUAUAGGAGAGGGUACUGGAAUUCCCGGUGUAGCGGUGAAAUGCGCAGAGAUCGGGAGGAACACCAAUGGCGAAAGCAGGUACCUGGACUAUUACUGACACUAAGCUGCGAAAGCUAGGGGAGCAAACAGG